rnacentral:rRNA from 1 species
UACGUAGGGGGCAAGCGUUGUCCGGAUUUAUUGGGCGUAAAGAGCGUGUAGGCGGUUAGGUAGGUCCGUUGUGAAAACUCGAGGCUCAACCUCGAGACGCCGAUGGAAACCAUCUAACUAGAGUCCGGAAGAGGAGAGUGGAAUUCCUGGUGUAGCGGUGAAAUGCGCAGAUAUCAGGAAGAACACCAGUGGCGAAGGCGGCCGGCUGGGGGUGACCUGACGCUGAGGCGCGAAAGCGUGGGGAGCGAACCGG